rfam:Takifugu rubripes genomic scaffold, scaffold_708
ACAACGGCUCUUUUCAGAGCCACACACACGCGCUAAAGCACCGCUU